rnacentral:lncRNA from 1 species
GGGACCAGCUGCCAGCUGUCCCUCCCCCUGGAAGGACUCGUCUCUCUCUCGAGCUCUUUGCUGAAAGAAUUGUUUAUUCAAAGCAGCAAUUUCCUCCACACCCCUUCUAGCGACUUUAAUGGAACACGAGGAAGUUUUCUGACCUGGUUAUGGGGGGAGCAGAAUCCGCGGCUCAGCCCCCUGCCGGCCUCAGGAGGAGAGGAGAAGAGACCGCGGGCAGGAGGGGCACUCCGGAGAAGCAGGCAGAAAGUACAGAUUUCGUACACGCGGAGUUUCCGCAAACCUUGCUCUGUCCUCCUCCAUCAUUUUCCUCUCCCCUCCCCUGUCUCCGGGUGCUGCCGCGCAGGUCUGGUUCUUCAGUCCAGCUCCUGCUGCGCCCGGCACGGGCUGGACACCGAGGACCUGGCCCUGCCCACCUCAUUUGCCAGAAGUGAGUCGGCUUCCAGCUUUGAGAGCAGGCGUCCUGUGGAGUCAAAGUGUCCCAGCCUUCUUGGUGUCGUCUUCCCUCCAAACUCUGCCAAACUGCUGGAGCAUCACCAGCACAUCACCAGCAAACGCAGCCGUGCAAGUGCUCUGACCUCCUGAGCCCGUCUCUGCCGAGGAGUGGCAGAGUUGAUGUGCACUUGAGACACCUAGCAAAGCCUGAAACUGUAUUUUUCAAUACAUCUCCCUGGCAUGAAACUUUUUGGAAGCAGGAGAGGUAUUUAUUAAUAAAACAGAUGUUUGUGCAUUGUCA